CUCGACUUGGAGUGCCAUGGCCGAUGGAACGACUAGAGCAAAGCACAAGAAGAUGCAGGUCAUUGGUGCGUGUUACUCCGCUGAUCAGAAGCAUCUACGGAUCCAUGAACAUGCCCUCCUUUCUUUCAAUCAUGGUGUAAAAUAUGUGAUCGGUUAUUGCAACAAGGUAAGUUAUGAUAAAUGCAUAUAUGUACAUGUUCCGCUGCUCAGUAUAUAUAGUGAAGUCCCGUUGGCGUAUGUAUUAGUACUUAUUGUGCUUCUCUAUCUAAAUAGGGCUAUUUAUUUUUCAGAAUUAUCCCUUUUUCCUUUUUUCAAUGGUUUAUAUACUUUCCCUUAGAAAGUUGGUUCUAUGUUUUUCCUCGUGCAGACAUGAUUUUUUCUACGAACGAAAGCACAUUACGACUUCAGCAAAUUUCUUGCCGUAAUUACUUCGAAUUUUUUUAUGAAAAGAGUUCAUGGAAUAGUUGAAUGAUAUGAUCCCUUGGCAUGA